UGGAUCGAUGAUGACUACUGGUGGCGUAUGAGGGUGAUACGGUGAAUACGUCUCUGGAACGCUGAGGUCCAU
ensembl:snoRNA